UACGGAGGGCGCAAGCGUUGUUCGGAAUCACUGGGCGUAAAGCGCGUGUAGGCGGCUUGGCAAGUCGGGUGUGAAAUCCCGGGGCCUAACCCCGGAAUUGAAUUCGAAACUGCCUCGCUCGAGUCCCGGAGAGGAUGGUGGAAUUCCCGGUGUAGGGGUGAAAUACGUAGAUAUCGGGAGGAACACCAGCGGCGAAGGCGGCCGUCUGGACGGUGACUGACGCUGGGACGCAGAAGCGUGGGGUCCAAACAGG
rnacentral:rRNA from 1 species